GUUAGUUAUCUACUGCUGCACUGGAUGCAUUCAAAACUGUAAGGGGCUAAAAACUUACCAUUUCCUGGUCUUUUAUGGCUCAUACUCUUUUAAGAAAGGAGGUCAGGAAGUCCCAAUUGAAUUACUCAAUAAUAUUGGUGUCCUUGAGUCUUAAUAGCAAGAAUUUGAG